rnacentral:rRNA from 1 species
CACGUAGGGGGCGAGCGUUGUCCGGAUUUAUUGGGCGUAAAGAGCUCGUAGGUGGCUCGGUAAGUCGGGUGUGAAAUUUCGAGGCUCAACCUCGAGACGCCACCUGAUACUGCUGUGGCUAGAGUCCGGUAGGGGAGCGUGGAAUUCCUGGUGUAGCGGUGAAAUGCGCAGAUAUCAGGAGGAACACCAGCGGCGAAGGCGGCGCUCUGGGCCGGUGACUGACACUGAGGAGCGAAAGCGUGGGGAUCAAACAGG